AUGAACGCUAGCUACAGGCUUAACACAUGCAAGUCGAGGGGCAGCAUGGUCUUAGCUUGCUAAGGCCGAUGGCGACCGGCGCACGGGUGAGUAACACGUAUCCAACCUGCCGUCUACUCUUGGACAGCCUUCUGAAAGGAAGAUUAAUACAAGAUGGCAUCAUGAGUCCGCAUGUUCACAUGAUUAAAGGUAUUCCGGUAGACGAUGGGGAUGCGUUCCAUUAGAUAGUAGGCGGGGUAACGGCCCACCUAGUCUUCGAUGGAUAGGGGUUCUGAGAGGAAGGUCCCCCACAUUGGAACUGAGACACGGUCCAAACUCCUACGGGAGGCAGCAGUGAGGAAUAUUGGUCAAUGGGCGAGAGCCUGAACCAGCCAAGUAGCGUGAAGGAUGACUGCCCUAUGGGUUGUAAACUUCUUUUAUAAAGGAAUAAAGUCGGGUAUGUAUACCCGUUUGCAUGUACUUUAUGAAUAAGGAUCGGCUAACUCCGUGCCAGCAGCCGCGGUAAUACGGAGGAUCCGAGCGUUAUCCGGAUUUAUUGGGUUUAAAGGGAGCGUAGAUGGAUGUUUAAGUCAGUUGUGAAAGUUUGCGGCUCAACCGUAAAAUUGCAGUUGAUACUGGAUAUCUUGAGUGCAGUUGAGGCAGGCGGAAUUCGUGGUGUAGCGGUGAAAUGCUUAGAUAUCACGAAGAACUCCGAUUGCGAAGGCAGCCUGCUAAGCUGCAACUGACAUUGAGGCUCGAAAGUGUGGGUAUCAAACAGGAUUAGAUACCCUGGUAGUCCACACGGUAAACGAUGAAUACUCGCUGUUUGCGAUAUACUGCAAGCGGCCAAGCGAAAGCGUUAAGUAUUCCACCUGGGGAGUACGCCGGCAACGGUGAAACUCAAAGGAAUUGACGGGGGCCCGCACAAGCAGUGGAGUAUGUGGUUUAAUUCGACGCAACGCGAAGAACCUUACCAGGUCUUGACAUUGAUCGCGAUCUGCAGAAAUGCGGAGUUCUUCUUCGGAUGACGAGAAAACAGGUGGUGCACGGCUGUCGUCAGCUCGUGUCGUGAGAUGUUGGGUUAAGUCCCGCAACGAGCGCAACCCUUAUCCUUUGUUGCCAGCGGUCCGGCCGGGAACUCAAAGGAGACUGCCAGUGAUAAACUGGAGGAAGGUGGGGAUGACGUCAAAUCAGCACGGCCCUUACGUCCGGGGCUACACACGUGUUACAAUGGGGGGUACAGAGGGCCGCUACCACGCGAGUGGAUGCCAAUCCCAAAAACCUCUCUCAGUUCGGACUGGAGUCUGCAACCCGACUCCACGAAGCUGGAUUCGCUAGUAAUCGCGCAUCAGCCACGGCGCGGUGAAUACGUUCCCGGGCCUUGUACACACCGCCCGUCAAGCCAUGGGAGCCGGGGGUACCUGAAGUGCGUAACCGCGAGGAGCGCCCUAGGGUAAAACUGGUGACUGGGGCU
rnacentral:rRNA from 1 species